rnacentral:rRNA from 1 species
GUGGGGAAUAUUGGACAAUGGGCGCAAGCCUGAUCCAGCAAUGCCGCGUGCAGGAAGAAGGCCUUCGGGUUGUAAACUGCUUUUGUACGGAACGAAACGGUCCUGGUUAAUACCUGGGGCUAAUGACGGUACCGUAAGAAUAAGCACCGGCUAACUACGUGCCAGCAGCCGCGGUAAUACGUAGGGUGCGAGCGUUAAUCGGAAUUACUGGGCGUAAAGCGUGCGCAGGCGGUGCUGUAAGACAGGCGUGAAAUCCCCGGGCUCAACCUGGGAAUUGCGCUUGUGACUGCAGUGCUGGAGUACGGCAGAGGGGGAUGGAAUUCCGCGUGUAGCAGUGAAAUGCGUAGAUAUGCGGAGGAACACCGAUGGCGAAGGCAGUCCCCUGGGCCUGUACUGACGCUCAUGCACGAAAGCGUGGGGAGCAAACAGGAUUAGAAACCCCAGUAGUCC